CAGGAGCCAAGGAAGUUUAUUUACUCUACUGGGUGACAGGAGGGCAGAGUGCUCCAGAGGAGACCCAGAUACAUCAACCAAGGACUUCCCUGAGAUUUGGCUUUGCUCUUCCAGGGUCAGGUCCUUCCACAGAUACUUCUCGUCAUCCGUCAUCUGGAUGACCAAGGGCACGUUAAAUACAUCCUGGAGCCACCUAAAGAAACACAGGGGGAGAAAGCUGACGUCUCAUCUCCCCUGUGGAGGAACGCCAUCGUGCAUCUGAAAACACAGCUCCUACUUACAACGUAUGUUAAAACUUCCUUGCCUACAAAAUCACAAUUUGAAUUGUGAUAUGAAUUUGACUAUGGAUAAUGAUAAGGUCUACUACCAUUUAUCGACCAGGUGG
rnacentral:lncRNA from 10 species